rnacentral:rRNA from 1 species
UAUGGCGGCCACAGCGGAAGGGCCACACCCGUUCCCAUUAGAACACGGAAGUUAAGCCCUCCAGCGAUUUUGUUGGUACUGCGAUGCGAGAGCUCGCGGGAAGGUGAGGACGCUGCCAGCC